UACGUAGGGUGCGAGCGUUAAUCGGAAUUACUGGGCGUAAAGCGUGCGCAGGCGGUUUUGUAAGCCAGAUGUGAAAUCCCCGGGCUCAACCUGGGAACUGCAUUGGUGACUGCAAGGCUUGAGUGUGUCAGAGGGAGGUGGAAUUCCGCGUGUAGCAGUGAAAUGCGUAGAUAUGCGGAGGAACACCGAUGGCGAAGGCAGCCUCCUGGGAUAACACUGACGCUCAUGCACGAAAGCGUGGGGAGCAAACAGG
rnacentral:rRNA from 1 species